AGCACAGAUUGUCCAGGUUUUGACAUUUGGACAACCUCGUAUUGACAAUGCAAUGUUUGUUUCUUACUACAGCAUGCCAAAUACUAUACAUAUAACUAAUGGACAUAUAUUGUGCCUCAUUUGCAUCCGUACUAUUCUUGGUUCCCACAAUAGACAUACCAUUACUUACCUAGGGUGGUAUGACUUUGAUCUUGACAGAAUAUCAGAUAAAUUAUGGGGAAUUGUCGCUGACUGCAUUUGACAUUUGCUUUGCAUUUAUUUCAACCUGUCUAACUAGAGAAGUCUUAUAUUUUCCAACAAUGUUCGUAUUCUCAUUUUUUUUAGCGUAUAAAUUUUAACUGUUUUGUUUGUUUUAUCUUCUUAACAAAGCAGGGCAGUUUGUAGUAUUCAUGACCUUUCUAACAAUAUUUAAGGAACUCUUCUCAUUCCUAUAAAGCUAUCAUGAGUUUCUCGUACCAAUUCCAAAUUUAAGACGCGUAAUAAUGUGUAUUACUCUCUCUCUCUCUCUCUUUAUGAUGGCUGAUGACCUUGUCUUAAGCUCUGUGCAAUUAUAAGGUAUUAAUCAUUUAAAUUAUGUAUGUCUACUAAUGCCUAUAAUAUUGGCAACUAGCUUAAUGACAGUCACGGAUAAACAUAUUGAUGUGAGAUAAUGUGAAAAUAAUUUGAUUCCACCUGCUUGUCUGGUGAUAAUCUUACUCUUUUUUAUGUGAGUGUUCGCAUGUAAUUGGAAUCCUUCUUUUUUUUGUAGGUAUGGCUGUAUAAUAUAGGAUUUGGUAGUCUGGUUUAUUAGGUCGAGAAAGUUUGUGAUGGCUCUAGAGAAGAUCCAAUUUGCAGCAGAAUUAAUGGCGGAGACUUGGGAAUCGUGCAAAAUCGUCAUGGACCCACGAUUGAAGGAAUACGGAAGCGAAGACUAAGGAAACCUUAUGCUUUCCAGGAAUCCUUCUUCUUCUGCAUUGAGGCUGCGUUAAGACUCCGAUGCCAAGAGUAACUUAACGUAAAAUGCUCCUAAGUCAGCACCUAAUUUUGUGAAGAUAAUUAGGUAGCUCUGGAUGAAGUUUGUUCACGUAAUGCAUUCCAUCAAUCUGUUUCCAUGUCCAUCACAAGAUGCAUAGGAUCUCUACUGAAAUUCACUUGGAAUGUAAAUAGCAUGAAGUUGAAUGUAUCAUCCUUGUAAAUACAAUUCUGUGAUACCUAUUGAAUGAAUGCGUUCGCAAUUUUACCUGUCAA